CUGGGUGUGGCGCAGUUGGUAGCGUGCUACCUUGGGGUGGUAGAGGUCGCCUGUUCAAGUCAGGUCACUCAGACCA
rnacentral:tRNA from 1 species